GAGUUUGAGCAUGGCUCAAGACGAACGCUGGCGGCGUGCUUUACACAUGCAAGUCGAGCGAUGAGAUCCCUUCGGGGAAGGAUUAGCGGCGAAGGGGUGAGGAACACGUGAGGAAUCUGCCUUCAACACUGGGAUAACUCCGGGAAACCGGGGCUAAUACCGGAUACGAGACCUGCAGGCAUCUGCGGGUCUGGAAAGUUUUUCGGUUGAAGAUGACCUCGCGGCCUAUCAGCUUGUUGGUGAGGUAAUGGCUCACCAAGGCGACGACGGGUAGCCGGCCUGAGAGGGCGACCGGCCACACUGGGACUGAGACACGGCCCAUACUCCUACGGGAGGCAGCAGUGGGGAAUAUUGGGCAAUGGAGGGAACUCUGACCCAUCGACGCCGCGUGCGGGAUGAAGGCCUUCGGGUUGUAAACCGCUUUCAGCAAGGAAGAAGCGAAAGUGACGGUACUUGCAGAAGAAGCACCGGCUAACUAUGUGCCAGCAGCCGCGGUAAUACAUAGGGUGCAAGCGUUGUCCGGAAUUAUUGGGCGUAAAGAGCUCGUAGGUGGUUCGUCACGUCGGAUGUGAAAAUCUGGGGCUUAACCCCAGACCUGCAUUCGAUACGGGCGAGCUAGAGUGUGGUAGGGGAGACUGGAAUUCCUGGUGUAGCGGUGGAAUGCGCAGAUAUCAGGAGGAACACCAAUGGCGAAGGCAGGUCUCUGGGCCAUUACUGACACUGAGGAGCGAAAGCGUGGGGAGCGAACAGGAUUAGAUACCCUGGUAGUCCACGCCGUAUACGGUGGGCACUAGUUGUGGGAACCUUCCACGGUUUCUGCGACGCACUAACGCAUUAAGUGCCCCGCCUGGGGAGUACGAUCGCAAGAUUAAAAUCAAAGGAAUUGACGGGCCCGCACAAGCAGCGGAGCAUGCGGCUUAAUUCGACG
rnacentral:rRNA from 1 species